UCGGGAAUUUUGGGCAAUGGGCGAAAGCCUGACCCAGCAACGCCGCGUGAGGGAUGAAGUAUUUCGGUAUGUAAACCUCGAAAGAAUGGGAAGAAUAAAUGACGGUACCAUUUAUAAGCUACGGCUAACUACGUGCCAGCAGCCGCGGUAAUACGUAGGGAGCAAGCGUUGUUCGGAUUUACUGGGCGUAAAGGGCGCGUAGGCGGCGCGGUAAGUCACUUGUGAAAUCUCUGAGCUUAACUCAGAACGGCCAAGUGAUACUGCUGUUCUAGAGUGCGGAAGAGGCAACCGGAAUUCUUGGUGUAGCGGUGAAAUGCGUAGAUAUCAAGAGGAACACCUGAGGCGAAGGCGGGUUGCUGGGCCGACACUGACGCUGAUGCGCGAAAGCCAGGGGAGCAAACG
rnacentral:rRNA from 1 species